rnacentral:tmRNA from 1 species
GGGGGUGUCCUGGUUUCGACGGGGUGUUUGACGAUAGUACGGGCGUGCCUGGGUUGGUCGGACGGCCCAGUAAAAAUCCGACCACCAAAUAAUUGCUAAAUCUAACGAUUUCGCUAUGCCAAUGGCUGCCUAAGGGCAAACAUAAAGCAUGAGGGGCCUGCACCAAUAACAAAAAGCAGGCACACUUGUUAAGUCGGCAAACAAACUCGGCUUGAUGGAACUGCCAUGCAAACCAUCUCAAAAAACUAGUGGGGUUUGUCAGAGUCGCGUAUUCUGAACAGCCAUGUCUGAGGGCAAUAACUACAGACUACGCACGUAGGCCGCUAUUCAGAUUGUACUUCGGACGUGGGUUCGAUUCCCACCACCUCCACCA